UACAGAGGGGGCAAGCGUUGUUCGGAAUUACUGGGCGUAAAGGGCGCGUAGGCGGCCUCUUAAGUCGAACGUGAAAUCCCCGGGCUCAACCCGGGAACUGCGUCCGAUACUGGGGGGCUUGAAUCCGGGAGAGGGAUGUGGAAUUCCAGGUGUAGCGGUGAAAUGCGUAGAUAUCUGGAGGAACACCUGUGGCGAAAGCGGCUCACUGGACCAUAACUGACGCUGAGGCGCGAAAGCUAGGGGAGCAAACAGGG
rnacentral:rRNA from 1 species